rnacentral:lncRNA from 1 species
GACUCUAUAUUACUUUUUUUACACUGAUUAAACCAUCGGACAGUUACUCCGAAGAAGGAACUCCGCCUUGUUUUGCAGGAUCGGAGCCUCACUAUCCCAUUUCUUUUUCUGCCACGUGACCUCUCGCAACAUGCUCAGGUACUGAAAUCCAGGGGAUCGAUAGAUUAUAGGAGAAAUACCACAGGAACAGGAAAAAAAAAAGGAAAAAGAAAAAAUAUCGGGCUUUUAAUCCUUGGGGGGGAAUGAUAUAAUAAAAAACAAAAAAAGAUCGGAAAGAGAUUACUGUUUGAAAUACUGAAGCAUCAGUAAAUUGGCAAUGCCCUUUCCUCAAACGAAUUAAACUUUCUAAACUCAAAUAUAUCAACCGAGAAACGCAUUCUUCAGAAAUCCUAAAAGGUCCCGUGGAUCAAACAAGCUGAUCCUCCAUUCAUAAGCUGCAGGAGGAGACAGUGAUCAUGAAUAUUGUUUUGCUUUUGCAUGCAUGUAAGGCAAAAAGUCAAUAAAUCUAAGAUCAUUAAAGAAAAAGGAAUAUAUAUAGAAGAAAAGGGACAAGAGGAGGGAAGACGGUUUGUCUUUCAUGGUGUCCUUAUUGUGGUGCCGGCAAGGAUUCUUCACGGUGCGAGUGGAACCCAUAAGAAGGAUGGGAUUUGCGUCAUUCUGCGGCUCCUUUCAAUGUGUCACUGCAUCGUGGGACACAGGGAAUCCUUGCAAACCGCAAAAUGUCUCUCCCUUUAGAUAAGAUGACCCACCAUCACAAUUCUAAUUCUCUUAUUUAUUUUAUCAGCUCAUUUCUCUCCUUACUAUCAUGCCAAUCAAUGGUUUUCAUUCCAAAGGACGUGCCUCUUUUCACAAUUUAAUCAAUUUUUUUAUUGAAGAAAGGUGUGGAGUGCAUCCAUGAAAGAAUAUCAAGUAGACCCCCCAAGGGAAAUGACCUCUGGUGUCACAUCCAUCCUGAAAAUAAGAA